UGCAUAGGAAUCUGCCUGUUAGUGGGGGACAACGUGUGGAAACGCACGCUAAUACCGCAUACGCUCCUGGUCUGUUAAAGAACAGGAGGAAAGCGGGGGACCUUCGGGCCUCGCGCUAACAGAUGAGCCUAUGUUAGAUUAGCUUGUUGGUAGGGUAAAGGCCUACCAAGGCAACGAUCUAUAGCUGGUCUGAGAGGAUGAUCAGCCACACUGGGACUGAGACACGGCCCAGACUCCUACGGGAGGCAGCAGUGGGGAAUAUUGGACAAUGGGCGCAAGCCUGAUCCAGCAAUACCGCGUGUGUGAAGAAGGCCCGAGGGUUGUAAAGCACUUUCAAUAGGGAGGGAACACCUGUUUAGAUAAUAUCGGGACAGGACUGACAUUACCUAUAGAAGAAGCACCGGGCUAACUCCGU
rnacentral:rRNA from 1 species